GUCCCAUUGCCCGACCAUGAAGAAGUUCUUAUAGCAAUUACCCGUCUGAAGAACAACAAAGCGGCGGGGUUCGAUGGAUUUCCGGCCGAGUUAUUCACACUUAGCGGCGAAGAACUGAUAAGGAGCAUGCAUCAAAUUCUUUGUAAAAUGUGGUCGGACGCAAGCAUGUCCAACGAUUAAAAUUUAGGUGUGCUCUGCCUAUUCCACAAAGAGGGAGACCCCACGAUCUGCGCCACCUUUCGUGGGAUAAGUCUCGUCAACAUCGCAUUUACCCGCCUUCACCGCUUGAACAAUUCACGCGCAAACGACCCUAACUCUUUAGUAGUCCGAAUAGUGGAGAUCACACCACUAACACAAUCAGGUCAAAAGGGGGUGCACCUAACAAAACCUGCACCGCAUCCGUUGACACGUUGCGAUAUACAAGCAAACAAGAAAGUAUCAUACAAAGCUGGAUUGAGAAGAGUUUUUGAAACCCCUAGACUUCGCACCAUGAGGCGGCUCCAUUUGUGGCACAGCCCACAAACAAGCCACGGUAUAUGGUGCGGACAGCACGACGUCCGAGACACCAAUCACUCCUCAAAUACGUAUUUUACCUAAGGUUGCCUGCAGUCGCUCCUUCACAUUCGCCAAGUGUACAAUAAUUCGAAUCCUUUCACUUAUGGCCAACCCCAGAUAUUUGAUUUGCGUCAAAUAUCUGAUGCUGACCUCAUUCACCCCGACAAUCGGUGGACGAACCGGUGACAAUCUGCCCAUAAGUAGCAUUGCAUGGACAUAUUUGUUGACGUUCUCCCUAACGACAUUCUGAACAUAGAACCGUGCAUCCUCUAUACUGCGUCCUUUGCUGUACCCAAACUGUCUAUCCGACCACAUACUCCGCGUUAGCUGAAGCCGUUCCAUCAUGACUCUUUCCAGCACUUUUCCAAGUACUGGAAGGAGAUUGAUUCCGCGAUAAGAUCAAGGACCGCUCUUGAUCUCAAGGAUCGCUCUUGAUCUUAUCAGGGGACUUCAGGAGAGGAACAACCCUAGCACUUUUCCACAUUCGGAGAAAGUAUCCCUCCCAGACGCACUUAUUAUAAAUGGCCUCCAGGUAUUCAGGACUGAAUUUCUACAAGCUUUUACACAUCUCUCCGUUUAAACCAUUAACCUGGGGACCGUUUAGAACUAACCACGCCAUACUCGUACCCCAACACGCCAUCAUCUAUUGGAGGGACGGUCACCUCUUGCGCUUGAGGUACCUGCACCUCCGAUCUAGGAAAGAACGCACCUAACGGAAACCCCGCAUGCUGUCUCCACGGCGAUAACAUAUUGUCACCGACGCGAAGAGAGGUGAUAUCCUCCCUCCUACGACCCUGGCAGAUACUAUAGAUCUGCCCCCAGGGGUCGUUCCCAUUCUC